GCCCUACCUAAUAUGGAGGUUAUGACACUCGGCUUGGAAUCGAGUGGGUUCGGGUUCGAAUCCCGAAUAAGGCA